GUUCUUGUGAGAUGGAACGAUCAAGAGCCAGACGAUUCUUCAUAACAAAAGCCAAAAGAUCAAGGGCCACAUGAUAAAGGUUGUUUGAUCAAGAUGCAAUGUCAAGGUUCAUGAGACAAAAGCCCUACGCUUGUUGAUAGAGUAUCACGGGAGUGGAUGCUUGGACAAGAACAGGAGAGAGUGGAGAGGCAGACAAGACCACGCGAGAGUUGAGCAUUGUAUUGUCUUGUACUCUUCUAUCACGGGUCUUUGUAUUUGGUCACGGGUCUUGUACUCUUGCAUUGUAUUGUAUUUGGUCACGGGUCUUUGUAAUUGGCCACGGGUUCUGUCUCUGCAUUUGGACACAAGAUGUCACAAACAGACUUAUAAAAUUUUAUGUUUCACUUUCUCAUUCUCACCAUUCUUGCAAGUUAUAAACAAUCCAUUCUCACUUUUAA